rnacentral:rRNA from 1 species
UACGAAGGGGGCUAGCGUUGUUCGGAUUUACUGGGCGUAAAGCGCACGUAGGCGGAUCUUUUAAGUCAGGGGGUGAAAUCCUGGAGCUCAACUCCAGAACUGCCUUUGAUACUGGGGAUCUCGAGUCCGGAAGAGGUGAGUGGAACUCCGAGUGUAGAGGUGAAAUUCGUAGAUAUUCGGAAGAACACCAGUGGCGAAGGCGGCUCACUGGUCCGGUACUGACGCUGAGGUGCGAAAGCGUGGGGGAGCAAACGGG